rnacentral:rRNA from 1 species
UGUGGUUUAAUUCGAUGCAACGCGAAGAACCUUACCUGGUCUUGACAUAGUAAGAACUUUCCAGAGAUGGAUUGGUGCCUUCGGGAACUUACAUACAGGUGCUGCAUGGCUGUCGUCAGCUCGUGUCGUGAGAUGUUGGGUUAAGUCCCGCAACGAGCGCAACCCUUUUCCUUAUUUGCCAGCACUUCGGGUGGGAACUUUAAGGAUACUGCCAGUGACAAACUGGAGGAAGGCGGGGACGACGUCAAGUCAUCAUGGCCCUUACGACCAGGGCUACACACGUGCUACAAUGGUCGGUACAAAGGGUUGCUACCUAGCGAUAGGAUGCUAAUCUCAAAAAGCCGAUCGUAGUCCGGAUUGGAGUCUGCAACUCGACUCCAUGAAGUCGGAAUCGCUAGUAAUCGUGGAUCAGAAUGCCGCGGUGAAUACGUUCCCGGGCCUUGUACACACCGCCCGUCACACCAUGGGAGUUUGUUGCACCAGAAGUAGGUAGUCUAACCGUAAGGAGGACGCUUACCACGGUGUGGCCGAUGACUGGGGUGAAGUCGUAACAAGGUAGC